AACGAACGCUGGCGGCAUGCCUAACACAUGCAAGUCGAACGAGACCUUCGGGUCUAGUGGCGCACGGGUGCGUAACGCGUGGGAACCUGCCCUUAGGUUCGGAAUAACUCCCCGAAAGGGGUGCUAAUACCGGAUAAUGUCUUCGGACCAAAGAUUUAUCGCCUUUGGAUGGGCCCGCGUUGGAUUAGCUAGUUGGUAGGGUAAAAGCCUACCAAGGCGACGAUCCAUAGCUGGUCUGAGAGGAUGAUCAGCCACACUGGGACUGAGACACGGCCCAGACUCCUACGGGAGGCAGCAGUGGGGAAUAUUGGACAAUGGGCGAAGGCCUGAUCCAGCAAGGCCGCGUGAGUGAUGAAGGCCUUAGGGUUGUAAAGCUCUUUUACCCGGGAUGAUAAUGACAGUACCGGGAGAAUAAGCUCCGGCUAACUCCGU
rnacentral:rRNA from 1 species